AUUGAACGCUGGCGGCAGGCCUAACACAUGCAAGUCGAGCGAGCGGCGGACGGGUGAGUAAUGUAUGGGGAUCUGCCCGAUAGAGGGGGAUAACUACUGGAAACGGUGGCUAAUACCGCAUACCAUCGGAUGUACCCAUAUGGGAUUAGCUAGUAGGUGGGGUAAAGGCUCACCUAGGCGACGUUCUCUAGCUGGUCUGAGAGGAUGACCAGCCACACUGGAACUGAGACACGGCCCAGACUCCUACGGGAGGCAGCAGUGGGGAAUAUUGGACAAUGGGGGAAAGCCUGAUGCAGCCAUGCCGCGUGUAUGAAGAAGGCCUUAGGGUUGUAAAGUACUUUCAGCGAGGAGGCGUUACCCGCAGAAGAAGCACCGGCUAACUCCGUGCCAGCAGCCGCGGUAAUAC
rnacentral:rRNA from 1 species